rnacentral:miRNA from 1 species
AUGACCAGGGUAUAUGUGUUCC